AUGAACGCUAGCGACAGGCUUAACACAUGCAAGUCGAGGGGCAGCACAGGUAGCAAUACCGGGUGGCGACCGGCGCACGGGUGAGUAACGCGUAUGCAACUUACCUAUCAGAGGGGGAUAACCCGGCGAAAGUCGGACUAAUACCGCAUGAAGCAGGGGCCCCGCAUGGGGAUAUUUGCUAAAGAUUCAUCGCUGAUAGAUAGGCAUGCGUUCCAUUAGGCAGUUGGCGGGGUAACGGCCCACCAAACCGACGAUGGAUAGGGGUUCUGAGAGGAAGGUCCCCCACAUUGGUACUGAGACACGGACCAAACUCCUACGGGAGGCAGCAGUGAGGAAUAUUGGUCAAUGGGCGCGAGCCUGAACCAGCCAAGUCGCGUGAGGGAUGAAGGUUCUAUGGAUCGUAAACCUCUUUUAUAAGGGAAUAAAGUGCGGGACGUGUCCCGUUUUGUAUGUACCUUAUGAAUAAGGAUCGGCUAACUCCGUGCCAGCAGCCGCGGUAAUACGGAGGAUCCGAGCGUUAUCCGGAUUUAUUGGGUUUAAAGGGUGCGUAGGCGGCCUUUUAAGUCAGCGGUGAAAGUCUGUGGCUCAACCAUAGAAUUGCCGUUGAAACUGGGGGGCUUGAGUAUGUUUGAGGCAGGCGGAAUGCGUGGUGUAGCGGUGAAAUGCUUAGAUAUCACGCAGAACCCCGAUUGCGAAGGCAGCCUGCCAAGCCAUGACUGACGCUGAUGCACGAAAGCGUGGGGAUCAAACAGGAUUAGAUACCCUGGUAGUCCACGCAGUAAACGAUGAUCACUAGCUGUUUGCGAUACACUGUAAGCGGCACAGCGAAAGCGUUAAGUGAUCCACCUGGGGAGUACGCCGGCAACGGUGAAACUCAAAGGAAUUGACGGGGGCCCGCACAAGCGGAGGAACAUGUGGUUUAAUUCGAUGAUACGCGAGGAACCUUACCCGGGUUUGAACGCAUUCGGACCGAGGUGGAAACACCUUUUCUAGCAAUAGCCGUUUGCGAGGUGCUGCAUGGUUGUCGUCAGCUCGUGCCGUGAGGUGUCGGCUUAAGUGCCAUAACGAGCGCAACCCUUGCCACUAGUUACUAACAGGUAAAGCUGAGGACUCUGGUGGGACUGCCAGCGUAAGCUGCGAGGAAGGCGGGGAUGACGUCAAAUCAGCACGGCCCUUACAUCCGGGGCGACACACGUGUUACAAUGGCGUGGACAAAGGGAAGCCACCUGGCGACAGGGAGCGAAUCCCCAAACCACGUCUCAGUUCGGAUCGGAGUCUGCAACCCGACUCCGUGAAGCUGGAUUCGCUAGUAAUCGCGCAUCAGCCAUGGCGCGGUGAAUACGUUCCCGGGCCUUGUACACACCGCCCGUCAAGCCAUGGGAGCCGGGGGUACCUGAAGUCCGUAACCGCGGGGAUCGGCCUAGGGUAAAACUGGUGACUGGGGCU
rnacentral:rRNA from 1 species